GACGAACGCUGGCGGCGUGCCUAACACAUGCAAGUCGAACGGAAAAGCCCUGCUUUUGUGGGGUGCUCGAGUGGCGAACGGGGGAGUAACACGCGUGUAACCUGCCCCUUUCAUUGGGGUAAAUUCAGGGGAAUGGGGCGCAAACCCGGUAUGAGCUCCUUCUGCAUGGGGGGGGAUGGUAAGAUUCGGCGGUUGGGGAUGGACUCGCGGCUUAUCAGCUUGUUGGUGGGGUAGUGGCUUACCAAGGCUUUGACGGGUAGCCGGCCUGAGAGGGUGACCGGCCACAUUGGGACUGAGAUACGGCCCAGACUCCUACGGGAGGCAGCAGUGGGGAAUAUUGCACAAUGGGCGGAAGCCUGAUGCAGCAACGCCGCGUGCGGGAUGACGGCCUUCGGGUUGUAAACCGCUUUCGCCUGUGACGAAGCGUGAGUGACGGUAAUGGGUAAAGAAGCACCGGCUAACUACGUG
rnacentral:rRNA from 1 species